AUUGAACGCUGGCGGCAGGCCUAACACAUGCAAGUCGAGCGGAUGACGGGAGCUUGCUCCUUGAUUCAGCGGCGGACGGGUGAGUAAUGCCUAGGAAUCUGCCUGGUAGUGGGGGACAACGUUUCGAAAGGAACGCUAAUACCGCAUACGUCCUACGGGAGAAAGCAGGGGACCUUCGGGCCUUGCGCUAUCAGAUGAGCCUAGGUCGGAUUAGCUAGUUGGUGGGGUAGUGGCUCACCAAGGUGACGAUCCGUAACUGGUCUGAGAGGAUGAUCAGUCACACUGGAACUGAGACACGGUCCAGACUCCUACGGGAGGCAGCAGUGGGGAAUAUUGGACAAUGGGCGAAAGCCUGAUCCAGCCAUGCCGCGUGUGUGAAGAAGGUCUUCGGAUUGUAAAGCAUUUUAAGUUGGGAGGAAGGGCAGUAAGCUAAUACCUUGCUGUUUUGACGUUACCGACAGAAUAAGCACCGGCUAACUCUGUGCCAGCCGCCGCGGUAA
rnacentral:rRNA from 1 species